CCACUGGGGUGAGACGUAUCUGCGUCUGGCUUGAGCCUAUCACAAACCCUCUUGCCCCUGCAGUAGACAUCUCUUCCAUCUAUUUGUCCUAUCCCCUUUCUGACACUAGGUCAAGCCCAGGACAAUUGCAGUGAGGCCUGGUGUUGGCAGUGGUAUCCUAGCAGAGAACAACAGAGGGGUGAGGGUGCUGCAGCACUACAGACUCCCUGUGCAGCUGGCGUAGGCAUAGCAGGAUGCCUGAUGCAGCCCGCUGCCUGACUUCCCAUUGGAUCCAGAGCUGCCCUGUUUCCCAGGGCCAACAAUCAAGCUGUCACAGUAAGUCCUCUGUAAACCCUUUCCAUGUUCUUUGAAGUGUAGGGCUGCCUGACAAAGGUCACGGGUGCCUUUUGUGGCUGUCCCAAAACAGCAGGUAAAGCUUUCCCAAAAAUAACCUUCAUUUGUGUUUUCACCCGUCUUUUCAUGUUGAAAGGUUCAUGUACAGAAUGAGUGACAUUCAAGUAGGGCAGUGAUGGUGCAAGUAAAAGGUGCAUAUCAUAGUUCCCUGCAUACAGCAUGCACCAACAUGUAACAUACACCUUGUUCUUGAAAGUCAGAAUGAAGAGAAAAAGAUCUUGACUUGUAGUACCUAACUGGGGAGCACAGGACGGAGUCUUAGCCCACUCAUUGCUCCACACCCUGUAGAUCACAUGAAGAUUGGACUUUUUCUUUCACUUUUGGCAGGAACUGUUCUCACCCUACGUCUUGCAUGUAAUGAACAGUGGGAUUGCCAGCAGUGUUGGUUUGUUUUGUUUGCAAAGGGGGUAUGUUGUAUUUUGAAAAAUACAGUACUUCCUACGCUGACAUCCUAACAUGCCCCUGAUCCUGGAGGACAGGAGCUGCUGGGGAGAGGGAGUGUUGCCCAGUGUCUCAGCUCUUCCCAAGUAUCCUGCAGAGCUUGAACGAGAACAGCGGGGCUAGGCUGAUCCUCUGUCAGUUUUGCUGUUUCCUAAUAUGCACUUUGCUGCAUUGGGAGUUUGAGGAAGCCCCAGUCUUAGUGGGGCGCUACAACUCAAGCCCCCAAAUUUUGGGCAGGGCAGUUAGCUCUGCUACUGCCAGUCCCACCCUGCAGACGGGCAUGCAUUCAUCCCUCAAGUGGGCUGGGGAGGGACAUGGGGCACUGUUUAAGCUGUGACCAAAGCUUACAUUGGGAAGGCUGUGGCUGGAGUGGGAGAGGAGCUUGUGUUUUUCUCUUUUUCUCUUUUGCUGAGUAUCCUGUUCCAGUUCUGGCCUCUCCUCCUGCAAGCACCAACCCCACAAGAUCCUUUCCCAAAGCUUAGAGUGAUGGGCAAAGUGUCUGUGUGUGUGUAGUCUGCAAUAUGCUGGUUACUAACAAUGGCUGCAUGAAGAAAGCUACACAGAACUAGCCCACGCAAGUGCCUUGCAGAAAGGUCUUCAUUGUCCUGAUGUGGAAAUCGCUGGGGAUUUCAUUCAUGCAGGCUUUUUGUUCUGCUUUAUUUUUCUUGCUCAUAGGCAGAGGCCUGUCCUCCCAAGGCAUCCUUGCAAGGAUCGCAACUGUGAUGUGAUGGAGAGAGGCUUGUCUGCUAUUGUUGACAUCAAGAGCAAUGCUGUCUGCGGGUCUGUACUUCUGCUAGGGUCACUUGUGUUGGCAAAGUGGACAGUGAGCUUGCCAGGCUAAGAGUGAUCCAAAAAUAAAGAUAAAAGUGAUUGAGGGUUGAGCAUGCUGAUGAAGCAAGACUAUUUCACGAUGGUGGCAGAGGCAGACGGAGACUGCAGCAGAACAGGUAUCUUCAGUGCUCUCAGUUUUCCUUGGCAUGGCAUUCAGGUUUCCUUCCUGUGAAGUACUAUGGGGUUGUUGUUGCACCAUUUCAUCCCCACGUUAAGAGAAGACGUGCACAAGCCUCUUGCUUCAAUAGCAAGUCCCACAGUGAUGGGUGAGUGGUGAUGGGGGAAGACACUAGUGAUUACCUGAAGCCCCUAGUCACGCACCUGCCCCUUGUCACAGACCUUUGCGUACAGAGACACUGACUGCACAAUAUGAUCUAAUCACAAAGCAACUGAAUGAACCAUUGAAACUUAUGACAGGAACUUUCAGAAACAGUCGUGUUCCUUGGCUGUGUCUUCUAUCUCAUACCCCUCCUCAUCUUCGACAUCAAGAGGCUAAAGAAAGAGUCUACAGAAUACUUCCUAUAUUCAAUUCACUACCAAUGUUUGAGGAACUUGAUGACCCCCAUAGGUCAAGGCUUAUGUCGAAGAAGGCCACUUUGAUAUCAAGGAAAAUGGACCCGGCAAUGCAAGACAAUUGACCUCAUUUAUACAUUUCUUAUCAUGGGCCCCACAUAUAAACCGCCUGGCUUUUCUUAACUAAGGCAGAGCUAGACUACACUGAACAGGGUGGACAACUAGCUGCUUUGUAAGUAGAAUUUUAUUAAAGAUACAAACUGGGAGUGCAGCGAGAUCCAUUGCAAAGUCCACCUCAGCACAGCUACAACCAGGGCAGCGCAGGACUCCAGCUGCCAGCACGGCCACAGCAGAAGCUCUCCUGUCGCAGCCCGCUCAGAUUUGAACAGUCCUCAGAUUCUGCUGGAUCCCUGUCGUCAACUAUCUCAGGCGGGACAUGAGAAGAAGACGAGGAGAGACCAGCCCCAAAGGCUGCUGGAUAGAUCCUUGUUUGAUCCGUUCCAUCACAUCCAUGCGUACAGCCACACACUGAUGUCACAAAAGAAGCAACUAAAGCAGAGGUUCAAUCUCAAGUGCUUGAAAAACCCUGCUAAGAGACAUCAUCUCCAGCAGCACCUCUGAGAGAAUCGUGCCAACUGUCCUGAUGCUCUUGACACCACUGAUUACUUGAGGAAGAGCAAGAGCUUCAAGAAAGGCAUCUGUGAGGCGUGGCAAAAAUCUCAAGGCUUCUCCACAAAGAAACCUCAGGACUAGUUUAAUGAGAAUGAUUGGGAAAUGCUUGCCUUCAAAAUGGACAGAGCACACAGUGACAUCAGCUCCAAAUAGAAGUACCCACAUUCAUUACCUUCAGUACAGAUCAUUCACUAGACGGCCUCUGCCACAUGGACAGUUUUGCACACGUAGGGGAAGAAUGCAUCUCCCCCUAUGUGUGUGUUAGAAAAAGCCACCAUUGAAUAGGUGUGUAAUCCAUAACAUGUAAUAAAAAGACAGGAGAAUUU